rnacentral:tRNA from 1 species
GGGAAUGUGGCUUAGUGGUAGAGCGCUUGCCUAGCAUGCACGAAGUCCUGGGUUCAAUUCCUCAGUACCA